rnacentral:rRNA from 1 species
UACGUAGGGUGCAAGCGUUGUCCGGAAUUAUUGGGCGUAAAGAGCUCGUAGGCGGUCUGUCGCGUCUGCUGUGAAAACUCAGGGCUUAACCCUGAGCUUGCAGUGGGUACGGGCAGACUAGAGUGCGGUAGGGGAGACUGGAAUUCCUGGUGUAGCGGUGAAAUGCGUAGAUAUCGAGAGGAACACCUGCGGCGAAGGCGGGUUGCUGGGCUGACACUGACGCUGAUGUGCGAAAGCUAGGGGAGCGAACGGG